GAGUGAAGUCGUGGUUGUACUAUUGUUUUGAUACCAUCUUAAUUUGUCAUGUCUCGGGGUCCCUUUUUGUAAGUCAUUUUGAAAUUGGACUAUAUUUUGUAAUUCAGAGUCUACGAAAAAGCACACUUUUUUUUGUUAAAACCUAGACCCUAACGACGUGAAACAAACCCACCACAAAUACAAAAAAUUAUCUAUCCAAACGGAUAGAGUCUUUCCUAUAUUUGCACGGCGUAGUACAUAGUACAAGUGACAACCAUACCAUACUACUCACAUUAAUAACAUACACGAUUCACACAGAUCAUUAUUUCACAAGUUUUCAUAUUCAUCCCUAUUAAUAUAUGGAUAUAAACAACAUAGAUAUCAAACUAAUAUCGAAUUUUGUAAUCAUAUUUGAUCAAAUCGGAUUUAAAUUCAAUU
rnacentral:lncRNA from 1 species